UACGUAGGGACCAAGCGUUGUUCGGAUUUACUGGGCGUAAAGGGCGCGUAGGCGGCGUGACAAGUCACUUGUGAAAUCUCCGGGCUUAACUCGGAACGGCCAAGUGAUACUGUCGAGCUCGAGUCCGGAAGAGGAGUGUGGAAUUCCUGGUGUAGCGGUGAAAUGCGCAGAUAUCAGGAGGAACACCAAUGGCGAAGGCAGCACUCUGGGACGUGACUGACGCUGAGACGCGAAAGCGUGGGGAGCAAACAGG
rnacentral:rRNA from 1 species